CCGUUCCAAAAGAUGACAAAUCAGUGGAUAACAUAUCUCCUGGGUCCACCCAAGCAUCAGAAGACAAAUCGCUGUUUUCUGGCGAGUCUUUUCCUACAACACUACACCAACAAAUAAGAAAUACAACAAACAUAGAUGUCGUGACAAACACUGCUUUUCCAAAUUGAAGCAUAAUCGCACUUUUGUAUUUUAUUGACUGUGUAUCUGUGGUAUUUGUAUUAUCAAAAAG